rnacentral:lncRNA from 1 species
UUUUGUUACCUGUUAUUCUUCAUUUUUCGUUACCCCAAGUAGGAUCUCACAGGACUGGCCGACCCUGUGGAGGAGUCUUCCAGGAAAAGACCCUGAUGUUGGGAAAGGAUGAAGGACAGGAAGUUAUAAAUUGUAUCAUGAAAAAAGAAAAAGAAAAUAAAGCAGAUUUAUUUGUAAUUUUGUGAAAUGAAUCAAAACUAAGAGAAAGAAAAUGAGAAGAAAAAAAAUGAAUGAUAUAAAAUAAAAGCAAUUGACAUACUAAAC